UGGGGAAUAUUGGACAAUGGGCGAAAGCCUGAUCCAGCAAUGCCGCGUGAGUGAUGAAGGCCUUAGGGUUGUAAAGCUCUUUUACCCGGGAAGAUAAUGACUGUACCGGGAGAAUAAGCCCCGGCUAACUCCGUGCCAGCAGCCGCGGUAAUACGGAGGGGGCUAGCGUUGUUCGGAAUUACUGGGCGUAAAGCGUACGUAGGCGGCUUGGUAAGUUAGAGGUGAAAGCCUGGGGCUCAACCCCAGAAUUGCCUUUAAGACUGCCUCGCUUGAACGUCGGAGAGGUGAGUGGAAUUCCGAGUGUAGAGGUGAAAUUCGUAGAUAUUCGGAAGAACACCAGUGGCGAAGGCGGCUCACUGGACGACUGUUGACGCUGAGGUACGAAAGCGUGGGGAGCAAACA
rnacentral:rRNA from 1 species